GGGGCUGACUUGGCUUUGACAGCGUGUAGAGGUGGUAAGCAAGCAUGCAGAGCGAUGAUGGCAAUGCUCUUGAAUAUCAGUCAUCACUAAAUUUUAAAUGGCGAAAACAACUACGCUCUCGCUGCCUGAUCGAAGUAUAGUAGAUCCGCUUUAUCGGCACUGAACAGAUAGUGUCGACGAGACAUCACCCGGUAGCCCUUUCUGCGAGGCUCAUCGAACCGGUGGUGCACGCAAAUCGGAGAUAGAGUGCCGCUCGCCUCGCGUUGCGCUCGAAAAUUUAGAGGCUAAGCCGCAUGUUGGUGGUCGAGAGCCUGCCUGCGGUCGAAAAACAAGUCACGACUAAGCAUGUAGAAAACUUAUCAGUUCCGCGUUUGGACGAGGGUUCAACCCCCUCCAGCUCCACA
rnacentral:tmRNA from 1 species